UCUAUCAAUCAAUCAAACACACGUUUUUAUUCAUAUUCCAGCAUCUACUUUUUCGACGACUUCAUCAUACUUUUUCUCUUUUAUUACGAGUUCUUAGGAAUUCGUCGACUUAAGCUCGGCGUGUUCUCGAGUUCCGCGUGAGUACCUCUUAGCCGUGACAUCCGGGCGCAUCGCUGUUGUCAGGACUAAAGUGUUCGAGUUAUCACCUUUGCCGAUAGUAAGGUCAAAUCGGCUGGCACGCCUUAACGUUUAAAUCGGGUAUUAGCCCUUGUGUUUGCAGAUCAGUUUUGCAUCAACAUCCGUACUAACACUACAAUAACAUCUAGAAAAAAUAAAUGAUAAAACUAAAUUCACUGUCUCGUAGAUAUUAGUCAUCUCACUCAUGAAAAAAAAAUAAACAAGCCCACACAGCCAUACUAAGAAGGAUCUUUCAUUUCACAAUCACCAUAUCCAUUAAUUCUCUCAAAAUUGACUAAAUUAAUAAUGGCCGCCCUUAUUAUCUCAAUAUCACUAGGUAAAUUUUGACAACUCUGUUUUGUGACAAAAGAAAGGCUAAGUAGAAUUUCUCAUAAAGCUUAUAGUUAGAGCACUAUCUAGACUGCAGAAAUGAAAGAAGCCCCCCCCCCCCAGUUUUAGAUGAGCAUGGAGUCACCAUCUUAAGAUGGCAACGGGUACCCGAAACCCAAGUACCCGGCGGGUUUUACCGAUACAGAGGC
rnacentral:lncRNA from 1 species